rnacentral:rRNA from 1 species
CCAAUAGCGUAUAUUAAAGUUGUUGCAGUUAAAAAGCUCGUAGUUGAAUUUCGGGGUUAGUAGGUUGGUCAUGCCUCUGGUAUGUACUGGUCUCACUGAUUCCUCCUUCCUGAUGAAUCUUAAUGCCAUUUAUUUGGUGUUUUGGGGAAUUUGGACUGUUACUUUGAAAAAAUUAGAGUGUUUAAAGCAAGCUAACGCUUGAAUACAUUAGCAUGGAAUAAUGAAAUAGGACGUUCGAUCCUAUUUUGUUGGUUUCUAGGAUUGACGUAAUGAUUAAUAAGGAUAGUUGGGGGCAUUAGUAUUCAAUUGUCAGAGGUGAAAUUCUUGGAUUUAUUGAAGACUAACUACUGCGAAAGCAUUUGCCAAGGAUGUUUUCAUUAAUCAAGAACGAAAGUUAGGGGAUCGAAGACGAUCAGAUACCGUCGUAGUCUUAACCAUAAACUAUGCCGACUAGGGAUCGGAUGAUGUUAAUUUUUUAAUGACUCAUUCGGCGCCUUACG